AUUGAACGCUGGCGGCAGGCCUAACACAUGCAAGUCGAGCGAGCGGCGGACGGGUGAGUAAUGUAUGGGGAUCUGCCCGAUAGAGGGUGAUAACUACUGGAAACGGUUGCUAAUACCGCCUACUAUCUGCUGAACCCAUAUGGGAUUAGCUAGUAGGUGGGGUAAAGGCUCACCUAGGCGACGAUCUCUAGCUGGUCUGAGAGGCUGAUCAGCCACACUGGGACUGAGACACGGUCCAGACUCCUACGGGGGGAAGCAGUGGGGAAUAGUGCACAAUGGGCGCAAGCCUGAUGCAGCCAUGCCGCGGGUGUGAAGAAGGCCUUCGGGUUGUAAAGCACUUUCAGCGAGGAGGCGUUACUCGCAGAAGAAGCACCGGCUAACUCCGUGCCAGCAGCCGCGGUAAUAC
rnacentral:rRNA from 1 species